UACGAAGGGGGCUAGCGUUGCUCGGAAUCACUGGGCGUAAAGCGCAACGUAGGCGGCUUUCUAAGUCGGGGGUGAAAUCCUGGAGGCUCAACUCCAGAACUGCCUUCGAUACUGGAGCUUGAGUCCGGGAGAGGUGAGUGGAACUGCGAGUGGUAGAGGUGAAAUUCGUAGAAUAUUGCAAGAACACCAGUGGCGAAGGCGGACUCGACUGGCCCGGUACUCGACGCUGAGG
rnacentral:rRNA from 1 species